GAUGAACGCUGGCGGCGUGCCUAAUACAUGCAAGUCGAGCGAACGGACGAGAAGCUUGCUUCUCUGAUGUUAGCGGCGGACGGGUGAGUAACACGUGGAUAACCUACCUAUAAGACUGGGAUAACUUCGGGAAACCGGAGCUAAUACCGGAUAAUAUUUUGAACCGCAUGGUUCAAAAGUAAAAGACGGUCUUGCUGUCACUUAUAGAUGGAUCCGCGCUGCAUUAGCUAGUUGGUAAGGUAACGGCUUACCAAGGCAACGAUGCAUAGCCGACCUGAGAGGGUGCACGGCCACACUGGAGCUGAGACACGGUCCAGACUCCUACGGGAGGCAGCAGUAGGGAAUCUACCGCAAUGGGCGAAAGCCUGACGGAGCAACGCCGCGUGAGUGAUGAAGGUCUUCGGAUCGUAAAACUCUGUUAUUAGGGAAGAACAUAUGUGUAAGUAACUGUGCACAUCUUGACGGUACCUAACCAGAAAGCCACGGCUAACUACGU
rnacentral:rRNA from 1 species